rnacentral:tRNA from 1 species
UUGUGGCUUAGUGGUAAAGUGCUUGGCUUCCAAACUGAGGGGUCCCGGGUUCGAAUCCUGGUGA